GGAAUGCCAGGGCAUGCGCCAUCCAUCCUUCUCCCAAAGGCUUAUCUGCUUCUCUUGUAGGUGAAGGAUGGCACAAGGCUCUCUUUAUAAGCCAACUGCAAAAGAGAAUUGGAAUCAUUUGAAUAAAGCAGUGAACAUGGGCAAAUGGGCAAGUUGCACCAUGGACUGAGUAGAUGUUCUUUUUGAGGAAUGGAAGGCAGAAAGUGAUCAGAGAAUGUCUAUUAUAAUUAAAGCAGAGGCCAAGAAAGAAGAUUGAUUGCAAACUAUGUUGAAGCAACAUUUUGCCUAUUGCUUAGGGUGCAAAAAGCAGGAAGGUGACCCCUCUAUUUCAGGAAUUUGCGACUUGUGCAGGACCGCUGCUCUAACUUGCGUAUGCUUGUGCAGAUAAGUUGCAUGAUUAGUAAACAUAUAUCUUAGGCAAGCAUUGGGCAGCAAACAAGGUUGGGUAUUUUUCUGCUUGGCUUGCAAUUCCGACUCUUAACAGUUCCCUUUUGCCACCAAAUUGGAAUCAAAGUAAAGACCCCUUGAACUAGACCAACUUUGUACAAGUGCCAAGUUGAAUACUCUCUACAAGUUGGAGCAAAUUGGAUAUCUGAUCUCAAUUGUUCCUUCCAGUACUAGGUAUAGUAGAUCCUCUAUAGCUUCUCUGAUCAAGAGGGAUAAAGAAGGCUGAAGAGUGAAGAGGUUGAAAGCUCGAAGAGCAAGAGAAUUCAAUGUGCUCGGGCCACUACUGGGCUUAGGAUUUAGGGAUUUUGGAACCUUUGGUUGGCCCCUUGCUCGAAGAUUGUAGCAUUAGGUGGUAAGAGAGUUGCUUAGGAGAUGACUGAUGUACCUUUUUUUUGCCCACUGGAGCAGAAUGACAGUAAUAUUCUUUGCCACUUGAACAUCAAUAGGGCUUCUUCAUUCUAUUGUUUGGUCUCACAAGAAGAUAAUCAUUGCUAAGCUAGCCAAGUGAAUUCUCUCAUGGAAUUUGUAAAAUUCUCUUGGAGGUUCAGUGCAUGGUCGGUUGUCGAUUCAGAUUGAACCGUCUUGUUUAGAUUCGGAUUGUGAUCACAUCAAAUUACGCCCUUUUUGUUCUUGCUUGAUUAGGAAUUUGAUGGAUUAGUUCAGUGUUUGCCUUUUUCUCUGCGAGGAACCCACACUGAAGAACACCCCUCCCUCACGCGAGUUCUCCCAUUGUUGUCGACAAGAGGUAAAAUUUUCAAAGUUGAGAGAUAAAAUAUAAUUCCUUAAAUAUUGCAAGACGGAAUUAAAAAGUUAAUAGGGUUAAACUUUUUGAGAUUCAAAGUUGGGUUUGUGGUAUGUCCACAUAAAAUAGGGAUCCAAGAUAACUUUUUCAUAGUCCUAGGGUAUAAUCGAGUUGAUUAUCACAUAGCAGGUUUGUAGAAUU